rnacentral:lncRNA from 1 species
CCCACCCACCCCGCUGCGGGAGAAGCAGAGGAGAGGCGUGGAGAGGUGACAGUGCGGGGCUUUAUUGGUGCUGCGGGGAAAGGACGCCCCAUCGUCGCUCCGGUGCAGCUCUGGGGUGCGGGGCUCCGUCCUCAGCGGCGCUGGUUCAGCCCCGUCAGGUCAGACAGCUUGGAGUUGCACUGAGACACAAAGUGCAGGAUCAGCUCGCUGCCAUCGCUGUGAAACAUCCCUGCAGCAGCAGCAGAGAGACCAAGGGUCUGCAGGGAAAAGGGAAGAAGCACAGACCAGGUCAUAUGCUGCUAAGCAAGAUCCAGCUAGGAAGUAUGUUGUAUUUAUUCUGCACGUGAUGUUAUAUGAUUUUAAACAAAACAAUACUGCAUUAAAAAGCUCUUUCUGUAUGUAUUUUCCUCUCUUUAGGAUCACUACGUCGUGCCUCAGCGUAAUUCUGAUAGUGCUACUCUGCAUCAGUUGGGGUUCAUUCCUGCCCAGUACCAUCUGCUGAAUGGGGUUCACGGCCCAAGCGUAUGUGGGGGAAGCAUGCAGGCCUGGCUGUCUUUGAACUUCGGUUCCAUCUGGUUCUUUGCUUCUCUCCCACAUACCUUGGCUCCCUCUGCAAUGGCUUCUGCCGUCCAGCCAUGUUCAGGCACAAACUCCAGCGCUGCUGUGAGGAUUCGAUGCUGCAGCUGCUCCUCGCUCUCAUAGUCC